CUACGGGACGCUGCAGUGAGGAAUAUUGGACAAUGGAGGCAACUCUGAUCCAGCCAUGCCGCGUGCAGGAAGACGGCCCUAUGGGUUGUAAACUGCUUUUAUACAGGAAGAAACGCCUCCUCGUGAGGGGGUUUGACGGUACUGUACGAAUAAGGAUCGGCUAACUGCGUGCCAGCAGCCGCGGUAAUACGGAGGAUCCAAGCGUUAUCCGGAAUCAUUGGGUUUAAAGGGUCCGUAGGCGGUUUAAUAAGUCAGAGGUGAAAUCCUACAGCUCAACUGUAGAAUUGCCUUUGAUACUGUUAGACUUGAGUUAUUGUGAAGUAGUUAGAAUGUGUAGUGUAGCGGUGAAAUGCAUAGAUAUUACACAGAAUACCGAUUGCGAAAGCAGAUUACUAACAAUACACUGACGCUGAGGGACGAAAGCGUGGGUAGCGAACAGGAUUAGAUACCCCCGUAGUC
rnacentral:rRNA from 1 species